rnacentral:rRNA from 1 species
GACGAACGCUGGCGGCGUGCUUAACACAUGCAAGUCGAACGGAAAGGCCCUGCUUUUGUGGGGUGCUCGAGUGGCGAACGGGUGAGUAAAACGUGAGUAACCUGCCCUUGACUUUGGGAUAACUUCAGGAAAAUGGGGCUAAUACCGGAUAGGAGCUCCUGCUGCAUGGGGGGGGUUGGAAAGUUUCGGCGGUUGGGGAUGGACUCGCGGCUUAUCAGCUUGUUGGUGGGGUAGUGGCUUACCAAGGCUUUGACGGGUAGCCGGCCUGAGAGGGUGACCGGCCACAUUGGGACUGAGAUACGGCCCAGACUCCUACGGGAGGCAGCAGUGGGGAAUAUUGCACAAUGGGCGGAAGCCUGAUGCAGCAACGCCGCGUGCGGGAUGACGGCCUUCGGGUUGUAAACCGCUUUCGCCUGUGACGAAGCGUGAGUGACGGUAAUGGGUAAAGAAGCACCGGCUAACUACGUG